rnacentral:rRNA from 1 species
ACUGGUGGAGCGCUUAGAAGUGAGAAUGCCGGUAUGAGUAGCGAAAGAAGGGUGAGAAUCCCUUCCACCGAAUAUCUAAGGUUUCCUGAGGAAGGCUCGUCCGCUCAGGGUUAGUCGGGACCUAAGCCGAGGCCGAUAGGCGUAGGCGAUGGACAACAGGUAGAGAUUCCUGUACCAGUGCUAAUUGUUUAACCGAUGGGGUGACACAGAAGGAUAGGGAAUCGCACGAAUGGAAAUGUGCGUCCAAGCAGUGAGUGUGAGAAGUAGGCAAAUCCGCUUCUCGCGAAGCAUGAGCUGUGAUGGGGAAGGAAAUUAAGUACGGAAGUUCCUGAUUUCACGCUGUCAAGAAAAGCCUCUAGGAAGAGUAGUACUGCCCGUA